rnacentral:rRNA from 1 species
GAGAGGGAGCCUGAGAAAUGGCUACCACAUCCAAGGAUGGCAGCAGGCGCGCAAAUUACCCACUCUCAGUACGAGGAGGUAGUGACGAAAAAUAACAAUGCGGGACUCAUCAGAGGCCUCGCAAUUGGAAUGAGCGCACUUUAAAUCGUUCGACGAGGAUCUAUUGGAGGGCAAGUCUGGUGCCAGCAGCCGCGGUAAUUCCAGCUCCAAUAGCGUAUAUUAAAGUUGUUGCAGUUAAAAAGCUCGUAGUUGGAUCUGGGGUUCGGGUCGGCGGUUUGCCGCUUCGGCGGCUACUGCCGUGCUCGACUCUUACUAGCCGGUGCGUCUUGCGGUGCUCUUCAUCGAGUGCCGUAGGAGCCUGGCAUGUUUACUUUGAAAAAAUUAGAGUGCUCAAAGCAGGCGGUUCCGCCUGAAUAGUGUUGCAUGGAAUAAUGGAAUAGGACCUCGGUUCUAUUUUGUUGGUUUUCGGAACUUGAGGUAAUGAUUAAGAGGGACGGUCGGGGGCAUUCGUAUUUCGGUGUUAGAGGUGAAAUUCUUGGAUCGCCGAAAGACGGACAAAUGCGAAAGCAUCUGCCAAGAACGUCUCCAUUAAUCAAGAACGAAAGUCAGAGGUUCGAAGACGAUCAGACACCGUCCUAGUUCUGACCAUAAACGAUGCCAACUAGCGAUCCGCAGUGGUUGCUAUAAACGGACUCUGCGAGCAGCUUCCGGGAAACCAAAGUGUUUGGGUUCCGGGGGAAGUAUGGUUGCAAAGCUGAAACUUAAAGGAAUUGACGGAAGGGCACCACCAGGAGUGGAGCCUGCGGCUUAAUUUGACCCAACACGGGGAAACUCACCCGGUCCGGACACUGUAAGGAUUGACAGAUCGAGAGCUCUUUCUUGAUUCGGUGGAUGGUGGUGCAUGGCCGUUCUUAGUUGGUGGAGUGAUUUGUCUGGUUAAUUCCGAUAACGAACGAGACUCUAGCCUGCUAACUAGUUGCGCCGUGUUCAUACGCGGCUGUAGACUUCUUAGAGGGACAGGUGGCGUUUAGCCACACAAAAUUGAGCAAUAACAGGUCUGUGAUGCCCUUAGAUGUCCGGGGCCGCACGCGCGCUACACUGAAGGAGUCAGCGUGUGCUAUCCGGGCUCGGAAGAGUUCGGUAACCCGUUGAAACUCCUUCGUGCUUGGGAUUGUGGCUUGUAAUUAUCGCGCAUGAACGAGGAAUUCCCAGUAAGUGCAAGUCAUCAGCUUGCGCUGACUACGUCCCUGCCCUUUGUACACACCGCCCGUCGCUACUACCGAUUGAAUGGUUUAGCAAGGUACUCGGAUUGGUCUCGAUCUUGUACGAAAGUGCGGGAUCUGCGGCCGAGAAGAAGGCCAAACUUGAUCAUUUAGAGGAAGUAAAAGUCGUAACAAGGUU